rnacentral:rRNA from 1 species
GACGAACGCUGGCGGCGUGCUUAACACAUGCAAGUCGAACGGAAAGGCCCUGCUUUUGUGGGGUGCUCGAGUGGCGAACGGGUGAGUAACACGUGAGUAACCUGCCCUUGACUUUGGGAUAACUUCAGGAAACUGGGGCUAAUACCGGAUAGGAGCUCCUGCUGCAUGGUGGGGGUUGGAAAGUUUCGGCGGUUGGGGAUGGACUCGCGGCUUAUCAGCUUGUUGGUGGGGUAGUGGCUUACCAAGGCUUUGACGGGUAGCCGGCCUGAGAGGGUGACCGGCCACAUGGGGCCGGGGAUACGGCCCAGGCCCCUUCGGGGGGCAGCGGGGGGGAUAUUUGCACAAGGGGCGGAAGCCUGAUGCAGAAACCCCGGGGGCGGGAGGCCGGCCUUCGGGUUGUAACCCGCUUUCCCCUGUGACGAAGCGGGGGUGCCGGUAAUGGGUAAAAAAGCACCGGCUACCUCCGG